UACGGAGGGAGCUAGCGUUGUUCGGAUAUACUGGGCGUAAAGCGCACGUAGGCGGCGCAGCAAGUCAGGGGUGAAAUCCCGGAGCUCAACUCCGGAACUGCCCUUGAAACUGCAGUGCUAGAAUCCUGGAGAGGCGAGUGGAAUUCCGAGUGUAGAGGUGAAAUUCGUAGAUAUUCGGAAGAACACCAGUGGCGAGGGCGACUCGCUGGACAGGUAUUGACGCUGAGGUGCGAAAGCGUGGGGAGCAAACAGG
rnacentral:rRNA from 1 species